GUUCAAACACAGAUUCCCGUACGAUCACUGAAGUUAAGCAACGUUGACUCUGGUCAGUACCUAGGUGGGUGGCCGCUCGAGAAUACCAGGUUGCUGUAAG